rnacentral:lncRNA from 1 species
GGAGGAGGAGAGGUGGGGAAUGGGAAUCGGACGCUGGAGAAGAGGAGGCGGUCCGGGUGGGUGCGAUGGAGGUGGCCGGAGUAUCCGGGCCGUUCGUCGGCUGCAAAUAGGGACGAGGAAGGGAGUGGGCCCUGCUGGGCCCCCAAACCUGCCCGUGGACCCGCGGGUUUAGCUGCUUGUAUUUCAGUUUUUUCUUGAAUGAGGAAACUUUGGAUUCUACUAAUAUAUCUUGUUCUUUUGCGAGGGUUGGAAUGUAAAUUUAAAUUUUUUCAAUUUUCGUUGAGGGAUUGGACAGUUCACGGUUAAAAGGAUUCGCCAAACCAAUAGACCGUUUGAUUAUCUUUCAACAUCGUUAUAGCAAAUUCGAGGAGUCACGGGCUAUGAUUGAUCAGCCAAAUGUUUUACGGGCUACUUGGUUUGAGAAAUCACUUUAUAUAGAAUGAAAUGAUCGGUCAUCUAGUGAUUUUGGUGGGAUGAAUCUAUACCUCGUUAUUUUAGGCUUUUAGCUAACUGUGUAUCUCAGUAUCUGCGAGGGAUGAUGCAGUGAAUUGGUGAUGACUGAUGAAUCAGCUUAUUCUGCUCCCAAAACCAAACAAAAAAAAGGUGAAAUAAUGUUAAUCACUUCAUUUCUCAAACAAAAUGUCCCAAUUCAAGCUACAUUUCAUAUUCUUCAACUCUAACUCCAAAGUAUACUGGGGUUAGAGGAAAACCAUGAUUUUUUUUCCGAAAGAUUUUAGCCUGUAAAUUGGCCCAACGUUGACGGUGGAUCCGCAAUGAGACGACGGAGUCACGGAGGCUUCGGUGGGGACGUGGGGUGGCGGCCGGUGGCCGGUGGGGGAUCAACAGCGCGCAGCAGGGUCAGGGGAUGGGCACUGGGCAGCCAUGGCGCGGGGCGUGCUGCGUGCAAGCUAGCUAGGACGGUGAAGGGCGCGGCGGCGCCGUCCAGAGGAAGCAGCAGGAAAAAUUCUUCUGGGAGAUUGUUGUAGAGCUGUAUCUGACGGAAGCUUCUAGAAGAGUACAUCCAAACAUCCGUAUAACUUUCGAGAUAAUCAUAUCACAAUCCAACCACUCGUAGAAUUCGACGAAUACAGUUAGAGCCUCUCAGGAUGCAAAGUAUUUUUCCCUUUCGCCAUUCGUCACCCCACAUCAACAAGAAAAGCAAGAGGAGGUUCAGACUACUAGCUCUACCACGAUGAGCACCGGACGGAAACCACCGAGCAACGUAACCUCAAACGCAAAACAGUCAGAUACUCAGAUAUGGAUCACAACACAACCAGAUAUGUAUGUGCCUGAAAGUGGCAUGGAUCACAAACAACCAGAUAUGGAUGUUUCUGAAAGAGGCGAGCUACUAACAUUCUCAGCGAACAAAACAUGAUAGUACUAGUCUCUUAACAGAAGCAAAGUCUGACAAGAAGUUUUCACCAACACAAUCUUAGGUUAACAACUGCAACAGUGCGCUGUAAACAUAGCAAGCAACCAUUCUUAAACAUCUAAAGCCUCCAAACCUUCUACCCCAUGCUUGCUGAUUUUGAGUGUUGAGAGCAAUCUAAGACCUUGGCUUCUCCUUCUUCUCCUUGAAAAGGGCAAGCAGAGACACGCCCGAGACCUUGACAACCUUGAACCGGACACCAGGAAUAUCUCCCACAGCAUGACCCUUACGACCGAACCCAGCAAUCAACACCUCAUCCUGGACAGAUACACAACAAAAUAGAAGUCAUGCUUCUGAUGCACAAUAGGUUGCAAGACAAGAAUUGAAAGAGAGCUCUGAAUGAAGAAUACAUUUUCCUCAAUGUAGUUCAAGCAACCAUCAUUUGGCACGAAGGCAGCAAUCUUCUUGCCAUUCUUCACAAGCUGAACACGAGCACACUUACGGAUAGCAGAGUUUGGCUGUUUGGCCUCAAUACCACUGCAAUUGAAUCAUUGCCAUUGUCAUUUGUUCAGUUGAGUUCAAAAUAAAGUGACCAAAAUAGCACAGUUCCUGCAUCUGCUUACAUCUUCUCCAGAACGAUGCCCUUGGCAUGAGAUGACCCAGCAAAGGGUUUCUUCCACUCAUUGCCCAAAUGGCUCUUUUUGUAUGCCUUGUCAGCCCACCUUUGGUUCCUGCGGUGGGUCUUGAGCUUGCGCCCAGCUCCCAUACCACGUGUCUUCCUGUAUAAGACAACUUAAACAUGAAUAUUCACAGCUAAAAAAUCAUUACUAAGGGACCAUCAGGUUGAUACACUAGUGAUGAAAGAACAGCUAGAUAAUCAAUAACAGCUCUAUCAUGAAAAGGUCUUGCUGAAAAUUUCAGAUCUCUGAACCAAAUAAACAGUUGGAAUUGCAUGAAAUGAGACAAAAGAUUGCAUCUAAGCAUAGAAGUUCAAAUGCGGCCACAUUUAUCCAUAACCAGUUACCUACAUACAACAGUUUAAAUAAAGAUUAUUCUUCAGAACACGACAUAUCAAGCAGCAAUACAAUUACAAUGUUUACUGAAAUAGCCUAAUUGUUGACUCUUGAAUGGAUUGAACUCUAGUAUCUUGAAGGCCAAAGGCUCACGCUUUUGCUUAAAAACAUAUAAAAUUUCACUACACCAAGGGCAACUCACUGAAAUGUUACAGAAGAAUGAGGAAAGUGUAUGCUACCACGCAUAACUUCCCAGAUCCCAAGUAACCGGAUCAAGAAAGAUUAUAGCUACACGGCAGCAACGGAUUAUUAUCGCUUAUGAGUAUGUUUAGCACUGACGUUUUUGAAUCUGAUCAGCACUGGACCGUCAAUAAGCUUGGGUACAUCAGACUCAAUAACUAGUAAUUCUCGACAAAACAGUCAGACUGAGAUGAAAUCCGCAACAAAGAAUCGAAAAUCACGUCGUAUACUUCCUACCAGGGCAAGAACGCAUCACGCUACGAGAUGCCGACACACCAAACCACACUGGAUUCAUAAUCGCUAAGGCCAGAAAACAGACGACGACAAUAAGAGAUCGCAAGAGCGCGAACAGGAGAGAGUGAACUACCCCAUGUUGACGAAAGUGUUCCGAGCGCUUCGCGGCGGAGGUGGGAGCGGCGGCGGCGAGGAGCGGAGCACGGGCUGGGAGCGGCGGCGGCUGCAAGAGAGGGGUGAUGAGGGGAGGCGAUGGGAUUUAUAUGCGGCGGCUUUGGUGUUAGGGUUUGGCUGUGUGGGUGCCUGCUUUGUGAUCUGUGCUUCUGGAGGGAACCUACGGUCGUGAUGUUGAGGAGGGGAGGGUUGGACACGGUAGACCUGGUCUACCACGUGGAUGCACAGGUAGGCUCUGGAUUUGUACCUCCAUCCUAUAAAGAGUACAAUCCUAAUUAAAAAAAGUUAUAAAAGAGUGAAAUUUCAGAUACAAGACAAAGGUGAAAACCAGAGUGCAAUUUCAUGAUUUGAUUAUCUGCAUGCUGUAAUAACCGACGCUAAGUGAAAACCAAACAACUUGCCUGUCUAAAUAAAUAAGAUUGAGACAAUAAUAAAGGAUUUCAUGAUUAUCUUUCAAUAAUAUUAUUCUAUCUAUCUGAAAAAAAUUAGAAUUGCACUUUUCGUUUGCCAACAACUCUCCCAAGUUGUAUCCACGAGAAAAACCAAAUUGAAGAAAAUUUGAAAGGGUAAUUUUGUUGAUGGACACUCCUUAGUGUUGGCAUUUGUUGGUGGACAUUCUUCAAUUUUGCCUUUGCUGCUAGACACUUCUUAAGUUUUGAUAUUAGCUAGUAGACACUAUGUCUAUUAAAAUAAUCAUUUCUUGCUAUAGAGGGGAGAGAAAAUCAGUGACAGGACAUGUCAUGCUGCAUACAGACAUGUUUUGAGUCGCUAAAUAGACAAUGUAUGAAGUCAAUUAAACCGUAUAUAGGUAAAAGAAGCAUAGAGCCAUACAAAAAAUCAAAAUAAAAUAUAGAUAUGACAAGCUUUAAAUGCUCUCAGCCAUAUUUGACAAAAAUAUAAGUUAAACAAGCCAAAACAUGUUGACAGCCAUUAAGGUUCAUAAUCCUACAUGUUAACAGCCAUUAUAAGAUUCAUAACCCAUGAGAGGUCGAGCUUCUUGGCAAAUCCACGCUGCACAAAUGCUCUUCAUGGCGAUCUUCACUAGUUCAUGGUGCGGAUGGAGGACGACGGGUAGAUGCGGCCGGACGAGCAACGGAGAGAACGGGUUGGGCAGCUCCUGCAAUGCCAAGACGCGGGUCAGGCAGCGGUGGGCACCUCCGGCAUGGGCGGGUUGGGUAGCGACAACUUCUUCACGGAGGCGACAGCGUCUGGUAACAAGGGCGCCGAUUCGGGGGCUCGGUUGCGCCGAUUCAUGGGUUAGGUGUGGUACGACACAGAUUAAUGUUAAGGUGGCACAGGGACAUGGCAGCAUAUCCGUUCAUGAUGGAGUUAGGGGACGGCAGCGCUGGGGCUUGGGCUGCCGUCAGGGGCGGCGGUGCCUCCGUGCGUGUCGUGGGUGGGGAACAGCGUAGCGACUGUACAUCGCAUAUGUGAUGGGAAUCAUUUUGUCGCCUGAAGGAGUUUGGAUGGGCCAGUACGUGUCAGCCAAAUAAAAUCUACGAUUGGUGUGUGAUGGGUCCGCUUAUACUAUUUUCUGCGGCGUGCAUGAAAGCGAUAGCGCCCAAUUCAGCACCACCACAGCACAUGCACGUCAGUACUAUUUUAUCACUGUCACCUCCUCGCAUAUUGCUUUGUGCAUGCACGCACUAAGGCGCAUGCACAUGCAUUUUUCCUUUUUUAUCUUUCUUUAUGUCUUCUUUUAUUUAUUUUCCAAUAUAUUUCUUUUCUUCCUUUUUUAUCUUUUGUUUUUCUUUUCCUCUCACGUUUUUGUUGUUUUUCUUUUCCUUUUUUCUUUCUCUUCCUCCUUUUCUUUUAUUCUUAUCCUUUAUUGUAUUUUUGGUAAUACUAUUUAUUUUCUUUAUUUUUCCCUUCUUUUUUUCUUCUCAUCUUUUCUUUCUUUUGCCUUUUCCUUUAUUUUCGAUUGCUACCGCAUGUAGGCUACUUUCACACCAUAUUCGGUUUCUUUUUCUCAUUCUUUUUUCUUUCUCUCUCUUGUUUCGUUUUACUUUUUAUUAGUUUAAUUCAUGUUUUGUUUUUCUAUUUGAAUUUAGAUUCUCUUCUACAUAUUCCUUCUUGUACGUAAUUUAUCUUGUUUUCCUCAUUGAUUUUAUUUUCCUUUCUACAUUUCUUUAUUUACUUUUACUCCUUCUCUUUCGUAUUUUUAUGACCAUGUGUAUAUUUUUCUUAGUACAUAAUUUCUUUAGCGGUACUUUCAAAAUGAUAUUUUAAAGUAAUCUACUAGAUUUUGGUUGCUUCGUACAUUUUGUUGUUCUAUAUAGACUUAUUAGUUCGCAGUGUAAAAUUAUGUAUUCAAUUUAUAGGUUCAUUCCUUCACGUAGCUGACUCAUUUAUUCACCUUUUAUAGAGUGAAUUGGUUAAUGAUAUAGACUCGUUUAAUUGUUGAAUACUAACUUUUCUUUUUUCUUAUUCUUCUUAUAACAGCUUGUUGGUCAUGUAUAAAAUUUUUUAUUUGCCUAUCAUGAUAUGAAUUGGUCAGCCAUGUAGAUUGGUGUGUUAAAUUGUUUGUUCGCUUUAUAAACUGAACUAGUCAACCAUGUAGAUUCGUGGAUUACAAUAUUGUUAUAUGUUCAUAAUGUAUUUAUUUUCAAGUGUACAAAUUUUUAUUCGGUGUGUAUAAAUACUUAUUUUGUGAGUUUUUUCAAUUUGUUCAAGGUAUAUAGAUCUUUUGUUUCAUUAGUUCAUAUAAUUUGUUCCACAUGUAUUCAUUUUUUUUCUGUGAGUUCAUUUAAUUUGUUCUAUGAGUAUAAUUUUUCCUUGAGUUCGUAUAAUUUAUUCCAGAUAUAUGUAUGGAAAAAAAUCUUCCAACUUGAUGCUCAUAUUCUACUAUUUUGUCUUACAAUAUUUGGUUUUGUAGAUUAAAUUGUUCGAUGAUGUGGAUUUAUUUAUUCAUGAUGUUCAGUUUCUCUUUUUGUCUUGUACAAUCAAAUGUUCGUGAUGUUCAUCUUCUUGUUCGCAUCAUACCUUUGUUAUUCGUCAUGUUUAAUUUUUUGUUUGCAAAAAAUAAUAAUUUGUUCAUGACGUUCGAGUAUUUGUUCACAGUAGUUAAAUAAUUAAUCCAUAUGUAAAAAAAUAUCUUUUAAAAAAUAUUACCAAACAUAGUCAGGUGGAGUCUUGUUUUGAAGAUCUCGUCAUAAUAAAUGUAAUGGUGCAAAUAAAAUUUAAUUUGGAUGUUCAGUUUAGGAGUUAUGAUUUUUUAAAUUUGCAUGUACGUCGGUCGCGUCAUCAUUUUUGUCUUUUCUGCAUGCAUGCAUGCAUGCUCUCUCCAUGGACUCUUGCAUGCAUGCAAACUGUUUGGAACUUAAAAAAACUAUAAAAUCUUACACCAAACAUCAAAAUUAAAUUCCGAUUGUACCAUUGGAUUUCUAAAAAUAAAGCUUUACAACAAGAUCUCACUUGACUAUAUUUGGACGAAUUUUUUUAUUCACAUUUUUUAAUCAAGGUUGCAUAUUCUGUGAGAUAUAUACACGUGGAACAAAUUAUACAAACCCAUGGAACAAAACAAUUGCAUACAUCAAACAAGAUAUAUGAACUCAAAGAAUAUGUUUAAUUUUUUGUUCGCAGAAAAUAGUUAUUUGUCCGUGGUGUUCAAACAUUUGUCCGUAAUAGCCAUAUCUAAAAAAUAUUUAAAAAAUAUUCUCCAAACAUAUUCAAGUGGGAUUUUGUUUUGAAAUUCUUAUUAUAAAAAAAUUAAUGGUAUAAUCGAAAUUUGAUUUGAAGGUCCGUUUCAAGAAUUAUGAUUUUUUAGUUUUUGGACUCUCUUGCAUGUGGAUGACAUCACCAACUUUAGUGAGCUAUUACUUCACUCGAUUCUUGCACCCGCGCAGCCCAAUAAUCAUCAUGCAGCCCACCAAUCACGCUGCAGGCCGGUAACAGAAGGUGACAACGACUGACCUAUCGUCUUUCUGCGGUGCAUAACUGCACCCGGGGAACAGGUUGGUGGCGAACGGGUGGAAGGAGGAAUCGGAUGGUGAGGGUAAGAUGUGAGGGGGUAGUUUGUUUUUUUUAAUUCUCACUUCUUUCAUCAUAAAAUUAAUAUUAUAAUAUCUAUAGUGUCUUAUAGCAAAUAUACGAACUUGAAGAGUGCCUACGAGCAAAGGUGAAAUUCAGUAGUGUCCAUCAGCAAAUAUCAACAUUGAUGAAUGUACCGCAACAAAAUUACCUAAUUUGAAAAUAUAUAAACUCAAAGGCCGAAAGCCCAAAGGCCCAUCGUGCCAGUCAAGAAGCCCUCACCGCGGGCGGCCCAGUAUCCACAACCACCAUCCAAUCCAGUUUCCCCACGUCGCCACGUGACCACCAGCACCUCUAGAAACUUCCUCCUCGCCUCCGCCUCCGCCUUCCGCUUCCUCCCAGGCAGCCCCAAACCCACGAAACCCUCCUCUCCUCGCCGCCGCGCCGCCGCGCCGCCGCUUCCUCCUCCUCCCGCUGCCCACCCCCGGACCCAACCCUACCUUCGCGACAGCGGGAAUCGGAGCCGCGGGACAGGAUGCCGCCGAAGAAGGCCGCCCCGUCGAAGGCGGAGCUGGCCAAGAAGCAGAAGGUCGUGGAGGACAAGACCUUCGGGCUCAAGAACAAGAACAAGAGCAAGAACGUCCAGAAGUACGUCCAGUCCCUGCACCAGGCCGUCCAGCCCAAGCCCGACCCGACCAAGACCGCCGCCAAGGUACCGGAGAACGCUCAGAUCGAGAGCCCCCGCGGGCGCUUCCGUCGCUUCUUCCUCCGAUUGCCUGGCUCUUCUGAUUUUCCUCCUUUUCUUUGAUGUGGAUGUGGAUGUGUGUGCACAGAAAAAAAAGGAGGAGGAGAAGGCGCGCGAGAAGGAGCUCAAUGAUCUGUUCAAGGUCGCCGUCAGCCAGCCCAAGGUCCCAGUUGGUACGGUCUCUUCUCCUUGUGCUUAGGCAUCUUAAGUUGUCCUAUCCUAUAUAUUGCUGUAUAGUUCGUAUCGGUUUACAUGUGGAUGAAAUGAGUGCUACACAGUUCCAUUCGAUGUCAUUUAGUAUCAAAGUGGUCUGUGCAAUAUAAGUAUAAUCAAUUGACAUGGUUUUUUUAGUUUGUUCAGUGUAAAGUUGUGCAUUGGGAAAUGCCAACACCUUAGAGCUCUUUCAUGCCAUGUAGAGUGGACAUAAAUAUAGCAAGUUAUUAGGAUUGGUACAACAUGGUAGUUUUACGUGUUGUGGCUGCUAUCCUGGUGAAAGUCCGACAGAUGCUGAUGCCUCAAAUUAUGCUCUGCAGGUGUUGAUCCCAAGUCAAUAGUGUGCGAGUUCUUCAAGGUUGGCCAGUGCCAGAAGGGUUUUAAAUGCAAAUUCUCACAUGACCUGAAUGUCCAGAGGAAGGGUGAGAAGAUUGAUAUCUACACAGACAAGCGUGAUGCAGGUAUUGGACAAACAUUGCUUGGACUAUCACUUUCUUCUGUUCAAAUGGUUUUGUAUAAAUUCAUAUGCUAUUUGUUAUUGCCAGAAACUAUGGAGGACUGGGAUCAGGAAACUUUGGAGAAGGUUGUUGAAUCGAAAAGGACAGAGUAUCAGCAGAACAAGCCUACUGAUAUUGUACGCACUACUCUCAGCCUAUUUUGCUGUCAAUCACUAAUUCUAUCCUGUCAAAUGUCGCAUCACUUUCUAUGUUCCUUUGCAUGUCAUAGUAUGUUAAUAUCUAUAUUUAUCAAGUUUCAAACUAGGUAGAGUUGUUGUUAACCAUCUUGGUCAUUAAAUUUGAAACAUUCAGGAGAUGAAAUCAUAAUUAAGCAACUUAACACGCUGGCUGUAAAAUUUACUUAGAGGUUAUACUAGUCAAUCGACAUGUAGAAAAGCUUCAUGUCUGUCAUAUGCUGACUAACUGAAUGCAACUGUAUAGGCACUGAAUAUCAUGAGUGCAAUUUUAGAAAGAUUCACCAUGCUAUCAUAUUCUGAUGUAUUGGCAUCUGAGCUAGCGUUCCAAUUUUUUAUUGUCUAUAGCUUUCAUAAUCAGUGUUUUAUUUUGUCAUAUGAUGUUGUUUGUUUUCUUUAUAAACAUGGUAUUACAACGGUUUCUUUCGCCUUCAGUUGGUAAUAUGAAUUUAUUUGCACUAGUGCCUUGUCUACUCAGUCGGCAACCUGUUGUUAAAUAGGAAAGCAUUUUUGGUAAUUUGUUUUUUCUGUGCAGGUCUGCAAGUACUUUCUUGAUGCCGUGGAGAAGAAACAGUAUGGAUGGUUUUGGGUUUGCCCAAAUGGUGGUAAGGAUUGCCACUACAGGCAUGCCCUUCCACCUGGAUAUGUGCUAAAAUCCCAAAUGAAGGCCUUACUGGAGGAAGAGAGUGAUAAGAUAGCCAUUGAAGAUGAGAUUGAAGAUCAGGUAAAUGAAGUGUAAUAAGCAUCAUUAUCUGGAACUGUGAAGUCCCUGAUUCCCCCAUUUCUGUUUUGUAAUUGGAUUCCUUUAACGUUGUUAUUACAUAUUGUCUUGAUGUGUUGGUUUUGCAGCGUAAAAAGACAAAGACUACCACCCCUAUGACCACAGAAUUGUUCAUGGAAUGGAAGAGAAAGAAGGCAGAAGAAAGAGAAGCUGGCCAAGCUGCGUUGAAGGCAGAGAGGGCUAAGAAUGAUCGCAUGAGGUAACCUUCAUUUCUUUUAGCUGAUUGUUUUCUGCCUUUCUCGAUUUACUAACUGUGGUUGCAUUUGUUUCCAGUGGUCGUGAGUUGUUCAUGGCUGAUGCAAGUGUGUUCGUUGACGAUGCGGAAGCAUAUGAAGUCUAUGAGAGAGAGGAAGAGUCUGAGGCCAACGAAGAAUCGGUAAAUUUACCUUCCUUUGAUGAUAUGUGUUCCAUUUUUAGUAGGUUAGUAAGGUGAGAGUUUGAGAGUGUGCGCACCUGGCCCGGCCCCAUUCGUGCCCACAGAACACACAAAUUAUCCCACAGCCCACCCAAAUGGAAGCAAAGUGGUAUAUGUCAUGUCAGUUCUCACUGAAAUUAUUAUGUACUUGUUCUGUGUCUUAAUGAAGGAAACACAAAAAUGAGUAGGCUCAAGAAACUUACCUUGGUCCAGACAUGAUUUACCAUAUCCAUCCUAUAUCCAUGUAUAUCUUGGCCUCCAAAAUGUCCAAAACAUAAAGUGCAUGUUGCUGUUCAGAUCUAGACUUGGUGCCUUGGUCUUUAGCUUGGAGGUCCCCCCCCCCUCCCUCCUUCCCUCCCUCCCUCCCUUGCUCUCCCUCACCCUCCCUCCCUCCAUGUGAUAGAAGAUCAAAACAUCUGAAAUUGCUCUAUAUAAGUAGUGUCUAGACUCAGGAAAUUUAAUUUAUGUACCUUUUUUUAGUGAGCACGAGGCAAAUCCACAGGUGGCUAUGUAUGCUCAUUUAGAAAUUUGAUAGAUAAUCUUUGGAUGCAUUUAAGAAUCAAAGAAGUAACCUGGCGAUCUGAACAGAUUCUAUGGACUGCGGAGAUUCAUUUUUCUCACACCUGAUAUUAUUCUCAGAACGUGUUACUGCUAUGAUGAUGUUCACAGCUAUAUCUCUCAUCCACCUUUAUCCCGAAAAGAAAUAUAUAGGCAUGGAAUUAAUAAAUUGGAAAGAUAUCCAAGUCGUGGAUCUGAAAGCACAUUUAUAUUAGUUUACUGAACUGAAAUGUGUAUCCUAGAAAAGGAGCUUUUGUUAUCAAAUUUCAAGUUAAAGGUGAAUUGCUUUCAGUACCUGGGGAAUGGCUUAAUUCACUGUAUGUUUUAGCAUGGAAUUUGGCAGAUGCUAUGAUAGUACAUCUAUAUGCAGGCUGGUUUGCAAUUAACUUGCACAGUAUUAUUCUCUCUUAUAGAUCUAUUCUAACAUGUAUUUUGCACCCCAUGUGACAGAGCAAGAAAAGUCAGGAUGCAGGUCCAAGUUCAUCAACUUCUAAUGGCAAGGAGGUUGAGGAACUAGAUGACGAAGAUAUCGAUAUUGAUGAUGACUUGGACAUUGAUGAAUUAAAUGAACUUGAAGCAAGCCUGUCGAGAACGUCCAUCCAAAUCCGAGAGCCUGGCGAGGGAACAUCAUCCUGAGCAGUAGUAUUAUGGAAGAUCGUUGAGAAUUAGCUCUCCAUUUUUGGGCUCCCAAACCAAUCAAGUUGCUUUUGGAAACAGAAAGGUGGAGCAUAGAUGCAAGUGGAAAUGAUUUCUAGUUCACUAGCUAUCUUGAGGGAGCAACGAUCAACGAAUGACCCAGUGUUAUGAUUACAUGACAAUUGAUGUUUGCCGUGUGCCCUUUUAUCAUGUAACCCUUUUGGGGAACAUGUUGGUACUUGUGAAUAACAGGACUAAAUUAUUUUUGUUGACUUUGCGUGGACUCACGAGUAAAAUUUUGAUGCGAUCGUUACACCGCGAUGGGUCACAAUUAUGAUAGUUUGCUGAUUUUAUUCAAGCGCUGACGUGAGUAAUCUUCAGUUAUGCACUGUCUUUUAUCAGCAACCCGUUAUUAUGAUAAAGUUUUAUCAGCAACCUGUUAUUAUGAUUAUAUUUUUCCCUUUCUGCUGCGAAGAAUCGCAUUACAAUGUUUUUUUUACUGAACAUGUUUUGUUUCUUGUUGUGUACUUGCAUAUAUUUUCCCCAUCCAUUGUAUCAAUAAAAAUGAUUUUAUUAAAUUCCUGUUGCACUUAACAAAUCGGUUGUCUCAUUUGUAAGAUAUGUUUACUUGGAUCCUUGCAGUACUUUGCGUUGUACUGCUAUGGUGCUAACCUGAAAGUUUUCGUAAAUUUUAUGCGAAAUAUUUUACUUGUAAGAUCAAGCUGAUUCGCAUCAAUGAUAUUAGGGACGUAUGAUUCCCCUUUUCUUAGUCAACACCUGCAUUUGUUCCUGUCGAUUUGCCGAAUCAUUCAUGGAUAAGUACGGCACCAAAGCUUGUAGUAACUUCGAUGCGAUGACUCUGAGUCAAGGAAAGUCGCACGUACUAUAGCUCUGUUCGGCAUGAAAGAAUAUAUGGGGUGUUUGGAUACACCUCCUAAAGUCUAGUAAUGUUUAAAUACUAAUUAGGAGUAUUAACCAUAGAUUAUUUAUAAAAUCCAUUGCAUAGAUGGAUUCUAAUUCGCGAGACGAAUCUAUUAAACCUAAUUAGUUCAUGAUUUGAUAAUGUGCUGCUACAGUAAAUAUGUGGUAAUCAUGGAUUAAUUAGGCUCAAUAGAUUCGUCUCGUGAAUUAAUAUAGGGGUUCUGCAAUUAGUUUUAUAGCUAGCUCAUGUUUAGUCUUUCUAAUUAGCAUUCGAAUAUCCGAUGUGACACUCCUAAAGUUUAGGAUCUCGUAUCCAAACACGCUAUCGGCAUUUCAGGUCGAACAUGUCAAAUUCUUGCGAGGGUUGUUGGGUUCUGCUAUACAUGAUAGAUCCGCGAAUCGGACGGGGUUCGCGAGACAUCCACGGUGGCAGCCGUCCUAUCGAGCUUUAAAGAUGCGCUCCAUGCAUGCUUACUCAGCUUGGCCGGCCGGCCGGCGGGUUGGAGGAUAUGCGGAUCUGCCGUUCGUGCGGCCACGGAUCUCACACGCACUGCGCACCAGCGCACGCUCGCUCGCGGUUGCGCUUGCGCACCGGCCGGCCACAGGCGCGCGCGCGCGUGCCUGGCUGCUCAACGAUUAUUUACACAUAGAUGCUUGCCGCAGCACUGGAUGCACAAACAGUACAGGGGGACGGGGUGUGCAACACAUAACAUCAUCUUCGUUAUCAUGCUUGGUUACAUAUAUACAUGUAACACGAGAAAGAGCAGAACAUAAAACUCGCCGACCCUCCCUAUUUAGUACUUAAGCUGUCACACCCCCUGAUUCCCUGAUUAGUGAUUACUACUCAACAUGACACAACAGAACCAUAAGCUUGGACACUCAUCAGAAGACGCGGCACAUUACUACCACCGUAACAACAAGUGCACACUUCCCUGAUGAAAACCAGUAAACAUUUAUGAAGGGGUUAUUUGUCUUAGAAGCAUAAACUCCUCAUACAUCACACUGGUGCCUAAAAAGACUGCCCUCUAACAGUUGGAGACUUCAGGCCCAUCUCCCUCCUUAAUUCUUCCAUCAAACUGUUCAUCAAGAUUCUAGAAGAAAGAUUGUAACAGGUCAUCCUCUACCUAGAGUAUGCCAAUCAGUAUGGGUUUAUCAGCUCAAGAACUAUUCAUGAUUGCCUAGCCUAAGCUUUUGAAUUCAUCCACUUGUGCAAAUCCACCAGGAAAGAGGUAGUUUUAAAAUUGGAUUUUGAGAAAACCUUUGAUAAAAUUGAACACCAGGCCAUUAUAAAAAUUUUGCAGAAUAAAGGCUUUGGUCCUAAGUGGUUGGGUGGAUCAGAGACAUUCUACAUCUGGAACUUCUUCCGUCCUCCUUAAUGGUGUCCCUGGCAAGGUCUUCCAUUGCAAGAGAGGAGUCAGACAAGGAGACCCAUUAUCUCCACUCCUAUUUGUCUUAGCAGCAAACUUACUUCAGUCCAUGGUUAAUCAAGCAAAAUCCCAAGGCCUUAUCCACCUACCCAUCCUGGAGAGAGCAGGGAAAGAUUUCCCAAUUGUACAAUAUGCAGAUGAUAGUCUUUUUUGAUGGGUACGUGUACCAGGGUACCCUCAGAAUAGGGGCUAAGGUAACUAGGCGCCAAAAGACCAAAGGCAACAGCUAGAAGCAGCCCAGACGAUGUUGCGGCCCACCGCCCGACCUCCCUCGGUUGGAAGACAAAGCCACGACACGCUGGCUCAGCUAGCUUGGGGGUGGAGCCCGCAAGGGGCCCACAACGUCUCACCCACUCCUUGACUCAGGAAGACCUGCGCCGUAUGAGAGCCAUUAUUGCACGGCGUGGUCCCCCUGACCAUCCCACGUCGGAGACAUGACCGGGCGAGGGGAGCCGACCUUUAACUAGGGGGUCCGAGGGUGAGGCUACACCCUUCGGACCGCCCAGGAUGGCCUGCAGGAUGAGGUCACGCACAGCCGUACGUGCCUCAGCAUCAACAUCACCUUCGCCGUCAAGGAGACCCAUCAAGAUUAAGGCCAUGCCACCAUCCCAGGCCGGUACGGUCCCGCAGGCGAUAUGGGACCCAACGACAAAGGUUACGGCGAGGAGCGGCCAUGAGCGCACUAAAGAGGUCGGGGAAAGCCGGGACUAGCGGCGCGCCCCGUCCAGGCCACUAAUCACGGCCCGGCCAUUCGUCACCAGUAGGACGACAGCAACAACACCCGUCCCAUUCACUGCCACGGAGUUGGCGGACGGGAUGGGAGAACGCCACGAAACAAGAGCGUGUGUAAGCAACCCACGCCGCACAUGAGCUACCGUACAAGGCGUGCGAAGUCCACGACCAGCCAAAGGGAUAGGACAAUGAUGCCUCUUGGUGCAAGGAAUACUUGACCAUGCCACAACUCCCGACCUCUAAGGUUGGGGACCCCUCCAUUUCUCAACGUUGUUGUCCGGUCCCUAGCUUAUAUAAGGGGAAGCGGGCCUCCUUUCUCUCUCUCAUUCAAUGCAUACACCCACACAUCGCACGAACGCUUGCUUGCAAGCACCCCGUUGUAAGCCCAGUGCACUUGAUCCAAGGAACACAACUCCUGCCGAAACUGGAUGUAGGGAUUUUUUUCCCCAAAACCAGUAUAACUACUUGUCUCUUGUAUGCUAGCCAUCAGAAGUGAGGAGAGCGCGACGUAUACUCACUAGUCGGCAAUCCGAAACACCGACACUUUUGAUAAUGGAAGCUUGUCCUAGGCAGUUGCUACUUCUAAAGGACCUCCUCAACUCCUUUGCAGCAACCAUUGGCCUAAAGGUUAACUACAAUAAGUCAGUAAUGAUCCCAAUAAACAUAUCUGAGGAAAGACUGCAAUCUUUGUCGAGCACUUUCAAUUGCCGAAAAGACUCCCUGCCAUUUACAUACUUGGGUCUCCUUUAGGCACCACUAAGCCUAAAAUUGAAGAAUUUUUGCCUCUAGUAUAGAGAAUUGAAAGAAGGUUGACUAGCGCAUAUGCAUUCCUCUCCCAAGCUGGUAAACUCGAGAUGGUAAACUAUGUACUUCAGUCUUUUAUUGUUGUACUCUCAAGCUACACAAGGGAGUGAUCAAACAACUGGAUAAAUACAAAAAACACUGCCUCUGGAAGGGAUUAGAUCUAAAAGCAGCAUGGCCAAUGGUGUGUCUACCCAAAAAGGAGGGAGUAUUAGGUGUUUUAAACCUCUCCACUCAUAAUGACUCUGAAAUUCCUACAGAAAUUCUACUCCAGAGCCGAUAUACCUUGGGUGCAUCUAGUUUGGGAUAACUAUUACUUAAAUGGUCACUUACCUGGAUAACAAAGGAAAUGUUCCUUCUGGUGGAGAGACAUUGUUAAAUUAUUAGAUCAAUUCAAAGGAAUUUCCUCAAUAACUGUACAUGAUGGCUCUUCAGUGCUCCUCUGGCAAGAUAUGUGGAAUGGACAGAUUUUGCAAAAAAAUACCCCGAGCUCUUCUCCUUUGCCGAGAACUCCAAUAUAAUUUAUCAAAAAGAAGUGAGCAACACUCAACUGUCAAGCAACUUCCAGCUACCCUAUCCAUCCAAGCUCAUCAGCAAGUCUUGGAACUGCAAGGCACCCUGCUUGAUAACCAACAACUGACUAGUCCUAACCAGCGGAGUUACAUAUGAGGUAAUGCAAACUUCUCAGCAUCCAAAGUAUACAAAUCCUUAAUUGGUCACAGAAGCAUACACUCAGCAUUUACCUAGUUAUGGAGAUCUAAAUGCCAGAUGAAACAUAAAGUCUUUUUCUAGUUGUUGCUCAAGGAUAGAGUGAACACAAGAGAUCUCUUGAGGCGGAAAAGAAUGGUUUUGGAAUCAUACACCUGUGAUCUAUGCAUCCUGCAGAGGUCUGAAACUGUGGCACAUCUCUUCCUUCGUUGCAAUUUUGCUAAAGCAUGUUGGGAAUCCAUUGGCAUCUCAGUGGUCACUACGAGACCUAUCCUUCAAAUCUUCUCCAGGAUCAAGCAGCAGUUAGGAGUUCCCUUUUUUAUGGAGAUCAUCAUCCUCAUGACAUGGAGCAUUUGGAAAACAAGAAAUGACUGGGUAUUCAAUGAUAUGAACCCUUCAGUCAUUGAUUGCAAAUGGAGAUUCAUUGCUGAAUUCUCCCUUAUCCUCCAUAGAGCUAAACCCAGUCUAGUCAAUGUUAUGAACUAAUGGCUUCUUUCUCUUUGCUUUGUUUUCUGUAGCCUUUGCUUUCUUUCCUUUUCCUUCUUUUCUUGCAUUCUGUAACUUUUAUUCCCCUUUAUUAAUAUAUAUGAAUCAGUAGGGGCUCUGCCCCUUCUGUUCCUUAAAAAAAAAACAUUUUUGUCUGGCAGCUUGCCAGCCAAGCACACACAAAAGCAAACAUUACCUACCGGCCGGUCUAAGAGGAGACAGAGGUGGUUUCCUCUCUCUAGCUAGUCGUCUCUGAUCAUUUCUUCCUGGCCCCGGCGUCUUUCUUGCCGGUGCCGGCGCCGGCCGUCUUGUCGCAGGCGAGGACAGCCGCCGUGGCCAGCGCAGCCGCGAUGUCCCUGACGAUCCUCUCCUUCACCUGGCCCCUCCGUGGCAGCGGGUUCCCUGACGGCGUCUUGCUGAUGGAUCGCCUGAUGACCGGAGCGGCGUCGCUGCUAGCAGUUGCCAUUGACUACGGCGUUCUAUACUAGCCACUACAGGCUUGGUCUGGUGAGUGGCGACUCUAGCUAAGCAGGAGCAGUGUGCUGUGUACUUUGUGAAGAGCUGGCAACCUGACACCAACACCUACCCAAAACUGGGUAUAAAUAGGGGAGGGAAAGGCAAGACCGCACGAGGCAUGGAUGGGGAGAUGCAUGGAAUGCAAAGUGCACGCCUGGCGAGCCUCGGAUCCUCACCGGCGCCGAUUGGCCGGCGGCGGGGCGGAUGGAUGAGGAAUAAUGGGUGGUGGUGGUCAAGCCGUCAACGGCGAGCAUGGUGCGUGGCCGGUUCGGCGCAUCUGAUAUUCGCAGUGCGUUAGUUCGGAUUCUCUGAACAGCAGAAUGGAUGUUGCGAACUGCUUGCAACUGAAAAAAAAAAGUGUGCUAAUCCGGAGAGAUUGUAUGCCGCGCGCAUGACCUCACGGCCGGAACGUCACAUGCUGCCGUGUCGAUGUCAUCGUGUGGCUCGGGGAGAUAGGAAAGAGAAGGCAACAUGUUCGGCCCACUUUUAUCUUCUCAGGCGACAGUAGGUUGGGUUCCAGAUAUUCAGUUCCCGCGAACAACAGCAGUGCUGGCAGCUGUUUAAUUUGCAUGCAACAUCUCGUGGGUUCUAUACUAUUCGAUCAUAUAAAUGUAUUAGACUUCAUGUGAAUAUACGAUCCAUUUAAUAAAAAAAACAUAUUGUUAUAUUUGCCUAAACAUUAUUAUGCAAUUUGAAAAACAAAAACUAACGAUAAACGCGUGUGUUUUCAUAUACUUUUGUUGUGGAUACAGGUAGAAGAGAUAAGAGGGAAUAAAAUGAAUAAUCCGAGAAUCGCAAGUAGUUCGUAAUUUAGAUGUUUAUCACAGACGCAGAUUUCACUAGCAUCUCCAUGUGUCACCCUGAGCUAUCUUUUAGCCUAACUUAGUGCUCCUAAUCAUUGCGCAUAUCGCUCCUAAUCCAACCAACACUUCACCAAUAGAAUGACGAACCUAUCGCCAUGCUCCGGCCGUUGUAAUGGUUUUCCUGCCUGGCGAUGUGAUAACUGAUAACGGCCUAGUUUGUUGGCAUGAUGGUUACUGAUUAACGUUAACGGUAGAUAAAUUAUGUUGAUCCUGGCGAUGCUAAUCUCUGUAUUGUGGCUUUGUUUAAGUUCAGUGCCGAUAGUAUCACAUCGAACAAAUACGGGGACCUUUCUACGGAUCCUCUCUCUCUCUCUCUCUCUCUCUCUCUCUCUCUCACUGCUGAGUGAUAUCUAGAACUUAUACUGCAUACAUCUGCUGCACAAUAUUUAAUUGUCAGGUACAGAUGACAAAGUACAGGUUCAUUAACAUCAGCACAAAGGCCAGCCAUACCACUCGUAGAGAAUAGAGAGAGUGGGAGACCCAUGGAUCAGCGGAGUUCGGAGACUGCACCGGGUCACCGCCUCUACGGGGUAUGAAUUACGAUGCCGCCGCCGCCGCCGCCGGUGGCUGUCAGUUAACCAUCCGUCCAUCCGCAUGCAUGGUGGAGGCACGAGGCGUAAAAAAUUCGUGGCCGCGCACGGGCAGCCGCCGGCACACGCCACAUACUCGUGCUCCGCGAACAGGUCCGAGUGGUGAUGCGCGCGCGGCAGCCUCAUGGCACCCCCUCUGUUUUCGAAUUCAGUUCAGAGCAGUCACCCAACUGUUUUCGAGUUCAGUUCAGAGCAGUGACCCCCUCUGUUUUCGAGUUCUAGUUCAGAGCAGCCACCCCUCUGUUUCUGAAUUCAGUUCAGAGCAGCCACCACUCUGUUUGCGAAUCAUGUUAAGCAGCUGGCACAAUGGUUCAGAAACGCAUAUCGGCCAAUUCGAUCUGAAUACAACAUGGUUUGGAAAUUGAAAGCCCAAUUACCAUCAAAUCUGCUACCAUAUAUUGCUUCGUAGUUCUUGCAUAAAACAACAAAGACAGUAAUGGACAUCUCUCUCCACAUUGCUUCACCCAACAACAGAGCUCUAAGCUGCACUCCAGCAGCUUAAAACCUGAAAGUGACCAAGGGGGGGAGAACCAAAGGAGCAAAACUAGGCACCAACAACUGCCAGAUUAAAGAAGAAAACUAAAGCUAAUCACUUCGCACAAUCCCUAUGUCAAGCACUACACACCGUACAACUAAAGUGUUCGAUCAGCUAGCAGCAGCUUGAUCAUCUCCCGAAGCUGCGCUCCCUGUUGGCGGCUGCGGCGCCGGCGCCGGCCGGUGCCGCGAGGCCGCCCAGCAGGGUCUUGGCGAUCUGCAGCUUGAGCUGCCCCCUCUUGAGCGGCGGCCUCUUCUCCUUGUUGCCGCCGCAGCCGUUGCAGGGGUACCCGUACUCCAUGGCAAGCUUCUCCGCUUCCUUUCUCACUCGAUGGCCGCUCGCUCUGUGCGUGAGCUUCUGGUAGCUCCCGGUGGCCUGCGCCGCUGGUGGAGAAGGCGAGAGAUGGCUGGCUGGCUUGGGGAUGGAGUGUGCAGGGCAGCGUGCAUUUUUAUAGCCGGAGGCCGGAGAUUUCAGACAUGUUGCAUUGGGAGAUGGAAACGCGCGUUGAUCAUCCAUUUGCUGGGGUCCGGGAAUAAAGUUGCAGGCUUGUUUUGAGCAUGUGGUUGUCUCUGUUGCGAGUGGGGAAGGCGUCACUUGACUUCGCACUAGCAGGCUAGAAGCUCUCGUUCCCUUCCCGACUACUUUUUCCUCGUCUUCUCAUAGUUCUUGGAAGCAUCCAUGAGGAGACAGGCAGGCCAAUGAGCAAAAACACAGGAUUAGGGAGGGAUUAGCCUCAUGUCAAUCAGAGAUUUGGCGAUCUAAUCUCGUGCAAAAUGCCCAUUUGGACCAGGAAAACAUGCAAUUGAGAAUUGAACCUUUCCAGUUUUCCUGUACCCUGUAAAAUAAAAUUAGGUCAUCCGAAAACAUGCAAUUGAGAAAUGUUGCAGAGUUCACCAGAUCUCCAUUUGCUUAUUAGAACAAAAAACAUUGCAUUAUCUAAAAAUGGAUUGCAUACCCUUUACUUGCGCUUUUCAGUAACAGUAUUGUUUUCCCCCGUACUUUCAGUUUCAGGCUUUUUCAGUACCGCCAAUCCGCUAUAGAGAUAUGGUAGCAUAGGAUAUUCUCCGGCGCCUCUUUCAGUCUUUCUAGGAGCAAUGCUUGUCUCUGCGUUCAAGAAUACAUUUUUUUCUUUUUGUGUGAUUUUCAAGGUUACACUUUGAUAUUUUUCUCAUGUUAUACUGUUUAUAGUUAAAAUUUAAAUAGUGUGCAAAAAAUAAGUUUUUUUACACUAAAUAAACUCUAGUUUGACUGAUUAUUGAUAAAAUAUUCAAUUUUGAUUUUUUAAAUUAAAAUCUUCCUGGUAUUUUUUAAUGAAGAAUAUGGCCUGCUAACUUCUUCCGUGGUGACCGAACUAAACCUUGUGAGAAUGUCACAUGAACGUACAUGUAGAAGUACUUAACUUUUUCACUUCAAAAUAAUCAUGGAUUAUAGAAACAUCGCUACAUUUUGAGAUAACCGAAUUGUAAUAGCCUCAUGUGGAUUUAAUAGAUAUUUUAAAUGUUUUCGAUACAAUGUAAGAGAGACAAGAGGAAAACCUGUUUCUCGUAUCUCAAGUGCAUAUAUCUAUAUUUUAUCACAUGCUCUUUAAAUAUAAGUUAUUUUAUGAUUUUUUGUUAUUCAGAUGGUUUAAGGUUAUGAGUAUAUGAAGAACUAGGCAGAUGGGCUCAUUGAACGAUUGGCUUAAAGAGAUUCAUAAAGAAAAAUACUUUCACAACAUACAAGGAUUUUCUAUUUUAAUACCAUAUUUUUACAUACAAAUUUAUAGUGAAAUUUCUAGCAGUGGCCAUGCCAAUAUCUUGAAUGGACUUAUGUUCACGAUCCAACUCCAAGGAGUACACACUUUUCCCCAGCAUCUCUGUAUAUCACAUUUUAGUUAUCUUUUAGCCUAACCGGUGAUCCUAAUCAUUGCUCAGAACGCUACUAAGAUCCAACAACUCUACAUUAGUAGCAGGUUCCUAUCGCCAUGCUCUGGUUGUUGUAGUGGAAUUCCCUCCUGGCGAUGUGAUACGGUGAUGGUUAAUGAUUAACCGUGACAUUACUUUCCCAUAUUAUAUACUCCACCCUAUCGCCUAAUCCUGAUUUUCCUGUGGCCUGCGAAUUUUCCGGAGCAGCCACCCCCCACCGCAGACCACUCUGUUCCUAGCUUCUGUUGCGGAUGAUUAGCAAGCAGGGGAGUGCGUGUCACUGUAUAUGGGCUUUGUUUAUGGUCUAGCGUCGAUAGUAUCAUAUCGAGCAAAUAUGAAAAUCGCUUUUCGAGAGAUUUCUUUGCACUGUUGAGAUCUCGGAUAUCUAGUACUGAUGCCGCAUAAGAUUUCCAACUCAAUAUUAAAUGAUCAGAUGCGCAUAGCAAAUGCAGGUUGAUUAGCUUCACCGUGAAAGCCACAUUAGAGUAUUCUUAUCUGCGGCAUUAGUUUAUCAUCAGGUGAGCGGAGGUUGGCUCCCUCCACUGGUACAGAAUCGAGAUCCAGCGGAUCAGUGGCGUGGUGGGACGGCACUGGAUCGCCUGGGUACGCCCGCUCAGCGCAACGGGUGGUAGCCGAUCGGUUACCAUCACCGCGCACGGCGGCACGAGGCAGGAGGAAGCGCCCGGCAAGUGUCGUGCUCCGGAGCCUGGAUUACGGUGAAUCUGACGACCGGAGCCGUGUUCCGCGGCCAAAUUGAAUCUGACGAUUCGGCGCGGAGGAAGCCGGAAAACCUCCGUGCAGAGGAGUGAGGAGAGCAGUUCCACUUCCACCUCGGAUUCUCGGUUCAGCGCAGCUGGACAGCACGCGAGAGAGCCGAGAGGGGAAAGUAAAGGGUGAAUGAAUCGGCUCAACUGCAGUGCAGUUCUAAAAUUAAGCACAGUGUUGGUCUUUAUAAAAAAAAUAAAACACAGUGUUACCAACGAAACCAUGUUAUAGCACCAUAACUGAUAACUCAUCGAAACCAUGUUAUAAGUUAUCUCUUAGAACUUGGAACGCAAGAACAGCAAGGAGUCCUUUUCUCUCUACAUCGAUUCACAGGACCCUAAAAACUGCGUGUUCCAGGAGCCAAGAACCUGAAGAUGAGCGCACGAAAGGGGAAGGGGAUCCAAGGGGCAAAACUUGGCACCAGCAGGCAACAGGCACCGCCGAAUUGAGGACAAACAACACUCUCUAUGUCAAGUACCACAGAUGCAUCUACACAGCUAGCUGCUACUGCUAGCUCUGCUUAUCUCCCGAAGCUGCGAUCCCUGUUCUUGGAGCCGGCCGGCACCACGAGGCCGCCCAGCAGGGUCCUUGCGAUCUGCAGCUUGAGCUGCCCCCUCUUGAGCGGCGGCCUCUUCUCCUUGUUACCGCCGCAGCCGUUGUAGGGGUAGCCGUACUCCAUUGCUCCUCUGCUUUGCUUCCUUGCUCUACCGCUGGGCGCUGGGCGCUCAGUCAGUGAGUGAGCAGCUGGUGGCCUGAGCUGCUGAUGUUCGGGAAGGCGAGAGCUGGAUUGCUUGCUUGAGGAGGGAGCGUGCGGGUGCAUUUUUAUAGCCGAAGUUCUCAGACAUGUGACAUCGCUGGGGAAGGUGGAAACGCGCGUUUCUUCUUUGUUUACUUCGGGUGCUGGGGUCCGGGAAUAAAGUUCACAUUGUUUUGAGCCAUGUGCAUGGUGGUUACCUCUAUUGCAACUUGUGAGUGAGUGGGAGCACGGAGCAGCUGCAGCGUGACAGCGUCCUUCCUCACUCUCGGUUCCAUUCCUCGCUGCCUUUCUCCUCACCUUAUCCGGCAGAUUACUGCCAGAUCAUCCAUGAAAAUUUAGUUCAUUUAUAUUUGAACACUUAGUGAUCCAAUGUGUUUUUAUAGAUUUUGUAAGUGCUCUUAAAAAGCUAGACAAAGUAAUAUGUAGUCCCUGUCAUUUUAGUUUUCUGCUAAAGCAAACUCCUUUUAACUUUGAUCAAAUUUAUAAAAAAAAUAUUAAGAUCUACAAUUUCAAAUAAACAUACUAUGAAGAAAUAUUUCAUGGUGAAUUUAAUGAAACAAAUUUGACGUUGUAGAUAUUGGUGCAUUUUUAAAAUAAAUUUAGUAGAAGUUAGAUAAGUUUGACUUACAAAACUAAACGACAUACAUUUUAAAAACGGGGACUAAUUAAGAAUCUCAAUUAAAUGUUACGUUUGUAUCACGUGCACUCUUUGAGGUCUCUAAGUUAAAUACCUCUUUUAUAGAUGUUGAGAUCACUAAAUUAGUAGUGUCUAGUGUCUACCACUGGCAGCCAGUAAGAUUUGCAUCUCGUUAAUAAAAUGGUCAGAUACACUGUUACAGCAAAUGCGGAUUGAUCUACGUCGCUAGAAAAGCCACACCAAGUACUUUCUUUUGUUGCGCACAACAUUAGUUUAGCACUAUAAAGUUUGACUUUAGUUCGAUUUAGAAUAGCACGCUUAGUUUCAUUUUCAAAAAGAAUUUGAAGGGCGUGUCAGCUCACAAAGACACAAAAUCACAGAAAAGCCAACAGAUGGCCGUCCGCCUGCACGGUGGUGUCAGCAAUCACGCUAAACCAACUGCAGAACUCAGCGCGGCCGUGGGAAUCCCAGGAGAGCGGUGAAGCCCCGUGCCGAGUGGCCCGGACACCGGAGGCGGAGGCCGGAGCGUUGGUGGUGGCUGGUGGGUGAUGCGGCUAACUGAACCGGACAAUUUGACGCCGAAGAAGCCUCGCGACGAAACGGGCAAACGGCCGAGGUCAGUGCAACACAAUGAAAAGGGGGGAGAUCCAUUGCCUCACUCAACUGCUACAAUGCAGUUGUGAGAAGUUACCCAGCCAAUUAACAUCAAAACCAUUUUAUAGCAUCAUCACAUAAUGUUAGGAUUUCGUACACAAGAACAAGAAGGAAUAGUAACCUCUCUCUUUGCAUUGCUUGAUACACUAGGAGGAGAGUUCCAAGCUAAGAACAUGAAGGAAAGUGAGCAGAAGGGGGAGACCUAAACUGGGGCAAAAACUUGGCACCAACAGGCACCAAAUUAAAGAGAAAACAAAAACUCUUCACUUUGCACAAUCGCUAUGUCAAGCGCCACAGGAUGCAUAUCCUCAGAUAGCUGCCGCUGCCGCUGCAACUGCAAGCACUGCUCCAGUGCUCCUGCUUUGCUUAUCUCCCAAAGCUGCGCUCCCUGUUCUUGGCGCCCGGCGCAACAAGGCUGCCAAAAAGGGUCCUGGCGAUCUGCAGCUUGAGCUGCCCCCGCUUGAGCGGCGGCCUCUUCUCCUUGUUGCUGCCGCAGCCGUUGUAGGGGUACCCGUACUCCAUUGCUAGCUUCUCCUCUCCUCUUCCUCUCUAGCUCGUGAGCUUCUUCUAGCUCCUGGUGCCCUGCGCUGCUGCUGGUGGAGAAGGCGAGAGCUGGAUGGAUGCCUUGGCCUGGUGCAGGGCACCGUGCAUUUUUAUAGCUGGAGUUUUCAGACAUGUUGCGUUGGGAUGUGGGAACGCGCGUUCUUCCUUGUUUACUCCAGCCGCUGGGGUCCGGGAAAAAAGUUAACUUUGUUUUCAGUCAUGUUCUCUGUUGCGAGUGGGAGCAGCGUCACUCUCACAGCAAUGUUCUCUUUC